UAGGGAAUAUUGGGCAAUGGGCGAGAGCCUGACCCAGCCAUGCCGCGUGCAGGACGAAGGCUUUCUGAGUCGUAAACUGCUUUUGCCAGGGAAGAAAAAGGGGGAUGCGUCCUCCACUGACGGUACCUGGUGAAUAAGCACCGGCUAACUCCGUGCCAGCAGCCGCGGUAAUCCGGAGGGUGCAAGCGUUGUCCGGAUUUAUUGGGUUUAAAGGGUGCGUAGGCGGCCGAUUAAGUCUGGGGUGAAAGCCCACUGCUCAACAGUGGAACUGCCCUGGAAACUGGUCGGCUUGAGUACAGACGAGGGUGGCGGAAUGGAUGGUGUAGCGGUGAAAUGCAUAGAUACCAUCCAGAACCCCGAUUGCGAAGGCAGCUGCCUAGACUGUAACUGACGCUGAGGCACGAAAGCGUGGGGAGCGAA
rnacentral:rRNA from 1 species